GUGAAUCUCACUCAACAGGUAGGCACACAACAUUGUUUACAGCAGUCAGCUCAGUGGACCAAUGACACCUAGGAUUUAUUUCGUGUUUACAGCAAAAUUGCAGUCAUCUCAGCGUUGCAAGGGUAGCACAACGCACUAAUAGUUCACAUGUAUAAUUCUCAUCAUCAUUAUGGUCAGACAAACAGAGCAGGCAGUGUAGAUGGAUACAUGGAUUCGUUGUUACCAUACUUGAUGCAGUCAGCGAGGGGAGGAAGAUAGGAUCGGAGGAGAAGUUGGAGGUUCCCCUGCAGUGGUACAAUUUUUUCAGAUAGAAGAAUUAAUCGUCAAUCAAGCAAACAGGAAGAGAAUCAAAGAAAAUUGAUGAUGUUGGGAAACAGUACGUGUAUGCAGAUGCAGUGGCCGAGCUCCCUGCGCACCUGAGUGACCAAGAUGGAGUCGAGCAUUAGCAAAGCGAUUGACCUG
rnacentral:lncRNA from 1 species